rnacentral:rRNA from 1 species
AUUGAACGCUGGCGGCAGGCCUAACACAUGCAAGUCGAGCGAGCGGCGGACGGGUGAGUAAUGUAUGGGGAUCUGCCCGAUCGAGGGGGCUAACUACUGGAAACGGUGGCUACUACCGCAUACUACCGGAUGGACCCAUAUGGGCGUAGCUAGUAGGUGGGGUAAAGGCUCACCAAGGCGACGAUCCCUAGCGGGCCUGAGAGGAUGAUCAGCCACACUGGGACGGAGACACGGCCCAGACUCCUACGGGAGGCAGCAGUAGGGAAUAUUGGACAAUGGGCGCAAGCCUGAUGCAGCAAUGCCGCGUGAAUGAAGAAGGUCUUAGGGUUGUAAAGUACUGUCAGCGGGGAAGCGUUACCCGCAGAAGAAGCAACGGCUAACUCCGUGCCAGCAGCCGCGGUAAUUC